GUGGGGACAUGCACCCGUCAGGUCGGGUGCUGUGGUGUGGAACUGGGCGCUCUGUCCUCUGUUCUGAUGCUUGGCUCUCUUUUGCAGAAUCAAAGCAAGGAGUUUCCCAAGCGUCCGCAUCUUCCCCCAAACUGGACAGAUACAAAAUGGCAAGGCAGUUGACAGAAAACGCCAUCAGGGUAAAGACCCCUGGGACCAGGGGAGGGAGUACUUUCUGAAGCAGGCAUUUGUUUUGGAAUUUGGAGAGUGUCUGCUGGGCUUGGCAGCCCUGCUGUGGAGACACUUCCCUGCCUGCAUAGAGGCUGGAGCCCCCUGUGGUGUGGGUGUGACCCCAUGUCGGUCUGCACACUUCUCCUGACUGGAGGGCCAGGGAUAUCCCCCCCUGCUCAGAGAACCCCGGGCCCUUCCCCCCAGGGGGCCGACAAGGUGGUGCAGUGCCGUGGGGAUGUGGUGUGUGUGUGCAGGGCUUGGUGCCGCAGGAGAGGAACUCUGGGGGGAGGGCAGGAAGCCCGUCUUCUCCCUCUGCAACACCCACGCGGGACCUGGGGAAAUGGAGAAGGUGUCUUGUCCUGUGUGUGGGAAGGCACCACAUCUGACACCCGCCAACGUGAAGCUCAGGUGACCGGGGAAGGGACUGCUGCCUGGGCGCUGGUGGUCCUACUCCCAGGGCCCCGCUGGGGCAGGAAUGUGAAAGGCCAUUGACACCAGCCACCUGCAGCAAGCAGCCUCAUGCCUGAACCUUCCCCUGAGGCACUCACCAGUGC
rnacentral:lncRNA from 1 species